rnacentral:rRNA from 1 species
UACGUAGGGUGCGAGCGUUAAUCGGAAUUACUGGGCGUAAAGCGUGCGCAGGCGGUUUUGUAAGUCAGAUGUGAAAUCCCCGGGCUUAACCUGGGAACUGCGUUUGAAACUACAAGGCUAGAGUGUGGCAGAGGGGGGUGGAAUUCCACGUGUAGCAGUGAAAUGCGUAGAGAUGUGGAGGAACACCGAUGGCGAAGGCAGCCCCCUGGGUUAACACUGACGCUCAGGCACGAAAGCGUGGGGAGCAAACAGGAUUAGAUACCCUGGUAGUCCACGCCCUAAACGAUGUCAACUAGUUGUCGGGUCUUAACGGACUUGGUAACGCAGCUAACGCGUGAAGUUGACCGCCUGGGGAGUACGGUCGCAAGAUUA